rnacentral:rRNA from 1 species
UACAGAGGGUGCAAGCGUUGUUCGGAAUCAUUGGGCGUAAAGGGCGUGUAGGCGGUUUGUUAAGUCAUGUGUGAAAUCCCUCGGCUCAACCGGGGAACGACGCAUGAAACUGGCAAGCUAGAGUACCAAAGAGGGGGGUGGAAUUCCUGGUGUAGCGGUGAAAUGCGCAGAUAUCAGGAGGAACACCGAUGGCGAAGGCAGGUCUCUGGGCCACUACUGACGCUGAGAAGCGAAAGCGUGGGGAGCGAACAGG